UUGGAGGGCAAGUCUGGUGCCAGCAGCCGCGGUAAUUCCAGCUCCAAUAGCGUAUAUUAAAGUUGUUGCAGUUAAAAAGCUCGUAGUUGAAUUUCGGGACCAUCAUGUCGGUCGUGCCUCGGUACGUACUGGCAUUGUUGGUUUCUCCCUUCUGACGAACCAUGAUGUCAUUUAUUUGGUGUUGUGGGGAAUCAGGACCGUUACUUUGAAAAAAUUAGAGUGUUUAAAGCAGGCUCACGCUUGAAUACAUUAGCAUGGAAUAAUGAAAUAGGACGUUUGAUUCUAUUUUGUUGGUUUCUAGGAUCGACGUAAUGAUUAAUAGGGAUAGUUGGGGGCAUUAGUAUUCAAUUGUCAGAGGUGAAAUUCUUGGAUUUAUUGAAGACUAACUACUGCGAAAGCAUUUGCCAAGGAUGUUUUCAUUAAUCAAGAACGAAAGUUAGGGGAUCGAAGACGAUCAGAUACCGUCGUAGUCUUAACCAUAAACUAUGCCGACUAGGGAUCGGAUGAUGUUAAUUUUUUAAUGACUCAUUCGGCGCCUUACGGGAAACCAAAGUGUUUGGGUUC
rnacentral:rRNA from 1 species